UACAGAGGUCUCAAGCGUUGUUCGGAAUCACUGGGCGUAAAGGGUGCGUAGGUGGCGUGGUAAGUCAGAUGUGAAAGCCCUGGGCUCAACCUCGGAAUUGCAUCCGAUACUACCAUGCUAGAGUACUGAAGAGGUGACUAGAAUUCUCGGUGUAGCAGUGAAAUGCGUAGAUAUCGAGAGGAAUACCAACGGCGAAGGCAGGUCACUGGGCAGUUACUGACACUGAGGCACGAAGGCCAGGGGAGCAAACGGG
rnacentral:rRNA from 1 species